GUGGGGAAUAUUGCACAAUGGGCGCAAGCCUGAUGCAGCCAUGCCGCGUGUAUGAAGAAGGCCUUCGGGUUGUAAAGUACUUUCAGCGGGGAGGAAGGCGAUAAGGUUAAUAACCUUGUCGAUUGACGUUACCCGCAGAAGAAGCACCGGCUAACUCCGUGCCAGCAGCCGCGGUAAUACGGAGGGUGCAAGCGUUAAUCGGAAUUACUGGGCGUAAAGCGCACGCAGGCGGUCUGUCAAGUCGGAUGUGAAAUCCCCGGGCUCAACCUGGGAACUGCAUUCGAAACUGGUAGGCUAGAGUCUUGUAGAGGGGGGUAGAAUUCCAGGUGUAGCGGUGAAAUGCGUAGAGAUCUGGAGGAAUACCGGUGGCGAAGGCGGCCCCCUGGACAAAGACUGACGCUCAGGUGCGAAAGCGUGGGGAGCAAACAGGAUUAGAAACCCGAGUAGUCC
rnacentral:rRNA from 1 species